rnacentral:rRNA from 1 species
UACGUAGGAGGCGAGCGUUGUCCGGAGUUACUGGGCGUAAAGGGUGCGUAGGCGGUUUGGUAAGUCUGAUGUGAAAUCUAUGGGCUCAACUCAUAGUCUGCAUCGGAAACUGCCGGGCUUGAGUGUGGGAGAGGUGAGUGGAAUUCCUGGUGUAGCGGUGAAAUGCGUAGAUAUCAGGAGGAACACCUGUGGCGAAAGCGGCUCACUGGACCAUAACUGACGCUGAUGCACGAAAGCUAGGGGAGCAAACAGG